rnacentral:misc_RNA from 1 species
GAGUAGCGAGUAGCGACUGCUGCAUGAUUGUCGCGAAUGUCGGAGAAUCACCCUAAAACUUGCAAAAGUGCGAGAAGAUUUAUCAAACGUCAAGGAAAUUUCAUCAUUUUGAAUCUUCCUUCGUGACCCUGGCCAAGCAGGUAACACGCAAACAAAUCAAUUGAAGCGGCAUGGUUUGAAAGCCCCUAGCAGAACAAUUCGAGAUUACAGUUUCAAACAUAUCAGCAAAAUGAAGCAAAUUCUAUGUGGCAGAUAUGGAUACAGCAAGCCACUUCUGGCAGCUCCUCAAGGAAGAUUAUUUUUUGUUCACCCUCAUAGAACAAUUGUUAUGUUAAGAGUUUUAAGGGGAGUUUUGAAACUGAGAUACCUUUUAUUGGGUGGUGCAGUUACAGGAGGAAUGACUCUGCAAAAAAGAUAUGAAGAGUGGAAGGAAGGGUUGCCAGACAUGUCAUGGCUGGAUAAUGUUAUGCCUACAGAUCAGCAAUGGCAAAGCUUCAGAUCAUCAUUAAUAAAUUUCAAAACUUCAAUUAUGGAUAAUGUAGACAUAGAUCCAAAAUUAAAAGAACUAGGAGAAGCUAAAUAUAAAGAGUAUAGAGAGUGGUUCAACCAAAGAUUAGAUGAUGCCAUUAAAGCUGCAGAAUUUUCCAAUGCUGAAGAUAAAUAUAAAAAUGCAUCAAAUCGUGAUAUUGAAGUGAUCUCAGCCUUUGCAAAUCAAGUUUAUUCAGAAGUCAAAGAUGGAAUAGCGAAAAAUACCGUAGCUUUCGCGGCUGCAGAAGUGAAUGACGAUCGAAGAAGAGCUCAAUCUUCUCAACAAAGAAUCGAUGCCAUGCAUGACGAAGUCAUGCAAAUACAGUCAAAAUAUCAACGUGAAUUAGAAAGACUCGAACGUGAAAAUAAAGAAUUGAGGAAACAAAUGUUACUUCGCGGAAAUAUCAAACAGUCGAAUCGAAAAAUCAAAAAAUCUUUGAUCGAUAUGUACAGCGAUGUAUUAGAUGAAUUGAAUGAAUAUAAUGCAGGCUAUUCGACUGCUGAUCAUCUUCCUCGCGUUGUAGUAGUCGGCGAUCAAAGUGCUGGCAAAACGUCGGUUCUUGAAAUGAUAGCUCAAGCUCGUAUAUUCCCUAGAGGUGGCGGUGAAAUGAUGACGAGAGCACCGGUCAAAGUAACGCUCAGCGAGGGGCCUUAUCACAUUGCCCAGUUUAAAGAUAGUUCUCGAGAGUUUGAUCUUACAAAAGAGUCUGAACUUGCUGAGCUACGUCGUGAAGUGGAAUUACGCAUGAAGAACAGCGUUAAAGGAGGAAAAACAGUCAGCCACGAUGUUAUAUCCAUGACUGUUAAAGGUCCGGGCCUACCACGUAUGGUUUUAGUCGAUUUACCUGGUAUCAUAAGCACUGUUACUACUGAAAUGGCCGAAGAUACUAGAGAUGCCAUACGUCAAAUGACACAACAAUACACAAGUAACCCUAAUGCUAUAAUAUUGUGUAUUCAAGAUGGAUCUGUUGACGCAGAGAGGAGUAAUGUUACUGACUUGGUUUCUCAAAUGGAUCCAACUGGAAAGCGAACUAUAUUUGUCCUUACUAAAGUUGAUGUAGCUGAAGAAAAUAUGACAAACCCUGAAAGGCUUCGAAAAAUUUUAUCUGGAAAAUUAUUUCCAAUGAAAGCUCUGGGCUAUUUUGCUGUAGUUACUGGUCGAGGAAGACAAGACGAUAGCAUUCAAACGAUCAAAGAUUACGAAGAAAAAUUUUUCAGAACUUCAAAAUUAUUCAAAGAUGGUUUAACAAUGUCUGGGCAAGUCACCACUAGAAAUUUAAGUUUAGCUGUUGCUGAAUGCUUUUGGAAAAUGGUGCGAGAAACUGUUGAACAGCAGGCUGACACUUUCAAGGCAACGCGAUUUAAUUUAGAAACAGAAUGGAAAAAUAAUUUUCCUAGACUACGCGAAUUAGAUCGUGACGAAUUAUUUGAAAAGGCUCGCGGAGAAAUUUUAGACGAAAUAGUGAAUCUCUCUCAGGUAUCUCCAAGAAAUUGGGAAGAAGUAUUAAUGUCGCGCUUAUGGGAAAAAGUCAGCACACAUGUCUUCGAAAACAUUUACUUACCUGCAGGUCAAACGGGUAGUGCCGGUACUUUCAAUACAGCAGUAGAUAUUAAAUUGCGACAAUGGGCAGAACAACAGUUACCAGCAAAAAGUGUCGAAUCAGGAUGGGAAAGUUUGCAGCAAGAAUUUCAAAAAUUUAUGCUGCAAGCAAAACUCAGUCCAGAUCAUGAUGACAUUUUUGAUAAUUUGAAAAAAGCGGUUGUAGAAGAAGCUAUGACCAGGCAUACAUGGGAAGAUAAAGCUUCAGAAAUGUUGCGUGUUAUACAAUUAAAUACAUUAGAAGAUAGAAGUGUCAAUGACAAAAGAGAUUGGGAUCAAGCUGUUAAAUUUUUAGAAACAUCUGUUAAAGACAAACUUCAGGUAACGGAACAAGUACUACGAGAAAUGAUGGGUCCAAGUAGUAGGGAGAGAUGGAUGUAUUGGCAGUACCAAACUGAUGAUCAAAAGAAACGAAAUAGUGUUAAAAAUGAACUCGAUAAAAUCCUAUACGCCGAUAAGAAACACACGCCAACAUUAUCGCAAGAUGAACUUACCACAGUUAGGAAAAACCUUCAACGUAACGGGUUAGAAGUUGACAAUGAAUUUAUUCGAGAAACGUGGCAUCCUGUGUAUCGAAGAUUUUUUUUGCAACAAAGUUUAUCAAAAGCUUACGAUUGUAGAAAAGGUUUCUACCUUUACCAUACUGGACACGAUUCAGAUCUUGAAUGCAAUGAUGUAGUUUUAUUCUGGCGCAUUCAACAAAUGUUAAAAGUGACUGCUAAUGCCCUACGGCAGCAAAUCAUGAAUAGGGAAGCCAGAAGACUUGAUAAAGAAAUUAAAGAGGUUCUCGAAGACUACAGUCAAGAUAAUGAAAUAAAACAAAAGCUACUCACAGGACGAAGAGUAACUUUAGCGGAAGAACUUAAACGAGUAAGAAAAAUACAGGAAAAAUUGGAAGAAUUUAUUCAAGCUUUAAACAAAGAAAAGUGAGCUGAAUAUUGAUAACAAAUGACUUUAGGAUUUUGGAUUAGAAAUGCCAUUUAUAACUUGUCAAAGAGGAGCACUGAUUCUUGAAAACUGCUCAAAAAUUCUUUUACAAUAAAAUUACCAACGUAGUGGUGAUAAGUUAUCAAUGUAAAUUGCAAUGGAAGUUUUAAAAUCUUAAGGAUGCGCUUUAAAUUAAUUAAUCAUAAAAUAUUUUGCUACCAAACACCUAUGUAUGCUCUUGAGUUAUUAUGGCAGAAUGAAUUAUAAGCUUGAAGUGCUGUGAGAGGAAGUCACGGACCCUUGUUGAACGAGUGUCUUACGUAAUUUAUUAGAAUUUUUUUAAUGAAACGAAGAUUUUCGUGACAUAUUGUUAAUAAUUUGUAAAAAAUAAAUAUCAAGAAAACAUUGUAUGCAUAGUUGCUUGCAAACGCAUGAAAAAAAAAGAAUGAUUGCUAACAUGAAUGCAAUAUGUUAAAAAAGCAUGUGUAUGUCGAUGCAAUUUUUUUCCCUGUGUAAGGUCAUGAUAUUAUAGUCAUUGCCACACAUG